GGGGGUAUAGCUCAGUGGUUAGAGCAGAGGACUCAUAAUCCUUUGGUCCUUGGUUCAAGUCCAAGUACCCCCACCA
rnacentral:tRNA from 1 species